rnacentral:rRNA from 1 species
GUGGAUUAGAUACCCGAGUAGUCCACGCCGUAAACGAUGCGCACUAGGUAUGAGAGGUUUUAACGCCGAUUGUGCCGGAGCAAAAGUGCUAAGUGCGCCGCCUGGGGAGUACGGCCGCAAGGCUAAAACUCAAAGGAAUUGACGGGGGCUCACACAAGCGGUGGAGCAUGUGGAUUAAUUCGAAGCAACGCGAAGAACCUUACCUGGGUUUGACAUGCUAGGAUGCUCUCUUGGAAACAGGAGUAGGCUGCCUUCGGGUGAAACUAGCACAGGUGCUGCACGGUUGUCGUCAACU